rnacentral:rRNA from 1 species
UACAGAGGGUGCAAGCGUUGUCCGGAAUCAUUGGGCGUAAAGCGCGUGUAGGCGGCCUUGUAAGUCCGUUCUGAAAGCCCGGGGCUCAACCCCGGGAGGCGGAUGGAUACUGCAGGGCUCGAGUACGGAAGAGGCGAGUGGAAUUCCUGGUGUAGCGGUGGAAUGCGCAGAUAUCAGGAGGAACACCAAUAGCGAAGGCAGCUCGCUGGGACGGUAUUGACGCUAAGGCGCGAAAGCGUGGGGAGCAAACAGG